AUUGAACGCUGGCGGAAUGCUUUACACAUGCAAGUCGAACGGCAGCACGGACUUCGGUCUGGUGGCGAGUGGCGAACGGGUGAGUAAUGUAUCGGAACGUGCCCAGUCGUGGGGGAUAACGUAGUGAAAAUUACGCUAAUACCGCAUACGAUCUAUGGAUGAAAGCGGGGGAUCGCAAGACCUCGCGCGAUUGGAGCGGCCGAUAUCAGAUUAGGUAGUUGGUGGGGUAAAGGCCCACCAAGCCAACGAUCUGUAGCUGGUCUGAGAGGACGACCAGCCACACUGGAACUGAGACACGGUCCAGACUCCUACGGGAGGCAGCAGUGGGGAAUUUUGGACAAUGGGCGCAAGCCUGAUCCAGCCAUUCCGCGUGCAGGAUGAAGGCCCUCGGGUUGUAAACUGCUUUUGUACAGAACGAAAAGGUUUCUACUAAUACUAGGAGCUCAUGACGGUACUGUAAGAAUAAGCACCGGCUAACUACGUGCCA
rnacentral:rRNA from 1 species